rnacentral:miRNA from 1 species
UCACUCCUCCCCUCCCGUCUUCC